AUUGAACGCUGGCGGCAGGCCUAACACAUGCAAGUCGAGCGAGCGGCGGACGGGUGAGUAAUGUCUGGGAAACUGCCUUAUGGAGGGGGAUAACUUCUGGAAACGGUAGCUAAUACCGCAUACCAUCAGAUGUGCCCAGAUGGGAUUAGCUGGUAGGUGUGGUAACGGCUCACCAAGGCGACGAUCCCUAGCUGGUCUGAGAGGAUGACCAGCCACACUGGAACUGAGACACGGUCCAGACUCCUACGGGAGGCAGCAGUGGGGAAUCUUGCACAAUGGGCGCAAGCCUGAUGCAGCCAUGCCGCGUGUGUGAAGAAGGCCUUCGGGUUGUAAAGCACUUUCAGCGGGGAGGCGGUACCCGCAGAAGAAGCACCGGCUAACUCCGUGCCAGCAGCCGCGGUAAUUC
rnacentral:rRNA from 1 species